rnacentral:misc_RNA from 1 species
GAUGAAGAACGCAGCGAAAUGCGAUAAGUAAUGUGAAUUGCAGAAUUCAGUGAAUCAUCGAAUCUUUGAACGCACAUUGCGCCCGCCAGUAUUCUGGCGGGCAUGCCUGUUCGAGCGUCAUUUCAACCAUCAAGCCCCCGGCUUGUGUUGGGGACCUGCGGCUGCCGCAGGCCCUGAAAACCAGUGGCGGGCUCGCUAGUCACUCCGAGCGUAGUAAUACAUCUCGCUCAGGGCGUGCUGCGGGUUCCGGCCGUUAAAAAGCCUUAUUUACCCAAGGUUGACCUCGGAUCAGGUAGGAAGACCCGCUGAACUUAAGCAUAUCAAUAAGCGA